UUUAUGUUGAAGGCUGUUGCAAAUAUACCAAAGGGAAAAGCCCCAAUUCCAAAGGACAUCUGGAAGCCACCAUCACCAAACCCAAAGCCCUGGAAUCCCUGCAGAGAACAAAGAACAGAAGACAAAACAGGUUGUUCUGAAAAAUGACUGGCCUUCACUACAUCCAAGAAGCAAGAGUGGCAGCAGAUGAACAGCUAAGAAACAAGGAACUCAUUUGCAAGUAGGCUUCCUAAAUAAAUACAGAAACCUGGUGGAGCAUGAAGACAUGGAAGUGGAGGUACCUGAGAGGGUGGAACUCCAAAAGGAGCUGGAUGACAGCCAAGAGCACAGGAGGUCCACGACAGGAGUAAGUGCAGGGGCCUGGGAAUGUCCAUGUGCUGGGUAAAGAUCUCACUAACAGCCAGUAAAAAAGAAAUUUUCCUCUAAUAUUUUAAAAACUUCAUCUGUAAAUCUACUGCUCACUAGGAAAGCAGGAGCUGAGUGGCUACUGUCAAAGAUCACACUUCUGAACUCAGCCAAUGACUGCCUUUGCCAAAGUACACUGCCCAGCCCUCAAAACACAGGAAAAACACUUCAGGACAGGCUGGAGGAGUUUUCACCAUAAGUUAAGGUAGACAAAAAAAAUCUGCUGGAAACAGCAGGUGAACAUUAAUUCAACCUGGGAAAGGCAAAGAGGGAGUAUAAAUUAGAAGCUAAUUUCACCUAUACAAAACAGUCCUGGAAUACAUGUUCACAGCAUGCCAUUAGGAUGUCUCAAGUAUUUAAUUUUUUCCAUGAACAAUGAGAAAAAGUUCUGGUGAGGAUAUAGAAGUCUGGUUAGUUUAUUAACAAAACCCAAAGUUUGUUCCUCUUUGCCAUAACAGUGAAAUAAAAAGAGCAGCACUGUAGGAUGUCAAUUCCACAGGAAAGACCCUUUUCCAUAUUUCUUUCCUAAUGAAUUUUAUUUUAGCUAAGAUUACUGAAAUUUAAAUAAUCCAAAUCUAGAUUGUUUAUGAAACAAGUUCUGAUUUAGUUCCUGAACCUUUCACAGUUUCAAUCAAAAAGAAGAUUUGCCAGUGUAUUUUUCUUAUCCCUAAGGUAAUAGUCUCAUUUUCUGACACUUAAAAGUAUUUACAAAAGGAAUAUUCACAUUAGAAAAUCAAUUUAAAUCUAAAACUACUACUGAGAGUUUAUAUAAAUAUGCCCACUCCUAAGUUUAAUAACAAUCUUGAUACUUAACAUAUUACAAUUGCCUGGGCUUCAAGUACAACCAGGUAAUCUUAGCUGAAAACUGCUGACAGUGUCUAGAAGAAAGUACACUGACUUCUUGACAGUCGUUUUAGAUAUUUUUAACAAACACAUGACUGUCCUGUUGUUAAUCAUUAAAUACAUAUUUAUCUCUCACUACCUUUUUACUCUUCUCUGUCCCCCAAACAUGUUACAUUUUAACUCCUUGGAAACACUUCUCAAGUUCAUCUUUCCACUUCCUGUAACCUGUACAGCAUUGGGCACCUGUUUCUUGAUAUCACCACAAAGUGGUCUCAAAAUAUGAAUUCCUGUGCUGACUUGCUCUUGCAAAAGCAGCCAUUUGCCUUCCAGCCUUGCCUGGCCUGGUUUCAUGACCUGGGAUUCUGCAAUGCACAUCUGUGUUACAGUCAGGGCUGCCAGGGCAAGGGCCCAGCUCAAGGAACACCGAGGAGUCCGUGUCCCUCGUAAAUGCAAACAGUAAAAACCUUGUGGCGAUUGAA